UACGUAGGUGGCAAGCGUUGUCCGGAUUUAUUGGGUUUAAAGGGUGCGUAGGCGGCCCUGUAAGUCAGUGGUGAAAUACUCUAGCUUAACUAGAGGGGUGCCAUUGAUACUGCAGGGCUUGAGUACAGACGAGGUAGGCGGAAUUGACGGUGUAGCGGUGAAAUGCAUAGAUAUCGUCAAGAACUCCGAUAGUGAAGACAGCUUACUAGGCUGUAACUGACGCUGAGGCACGAAAGUGUGGGGAUCAAACAGG
rnacentral:rRNA from 1 species